CUGAUGACCAGGACAGAUGGAAGCAGGGCAUUUUUUCUUGCCCAUCCUUACUUCCUCACAUGCCUACCUGGAUCAUGGACUGGAUGGCUAGAGCUUUGGAAAUUGAUUUUGACAUUGCCACUCUCACGGGAAGAUUCUGAUGGAAGACAUUCUGUACAGCUGAAUGUGUGACUUGAGGUGGACUCAAACGUCCUCGAGAAAAUAAAUGAAGUGACCAAGGUCCUUUGAGGAAGAAUCUAUUUUAUGAGAGUCUUCCAGACUUUGAAAAAGGCACAGGUAUAACUGGGUUCAGGGGGCCCAACGGGGUCACAGAACGUGACCAACUGUAUUUGGGAUCUUCUCACGUUGAAUGCAAGGUCGGGAGCCAGACUCAUCAUCCUGCCAUUUCCUCGCUCAAGGACCUCUCUCGCAGGAUGUGAUGAGAAAUUGCAGAGGCCCUGGGGGGACACCACCAGCACGUGCAUCUUGGUUCCACCAGGAAAGUGUCCCUCGUUCUGUGCUCCUAGAGACGUAUGUCCAACCUCGGCUAAGGCAGGUGCGCAUUCUGUUACAAUUAGACAUGUGUGCUUUCCUUUUCCACUAGACUGUGCACUUUGAGGGCAGUGACCGUUUCUUUUACCACCGUCCAUCCCGUGAUGGGCGCUUAGAAAUGGUCUUUGCCCUCCCUUAUUCUACGUGCAAUAUGAAGCUGUCAGUUCAGCUCAUUGCAGCCCUAAGGAAGAGACAUAAUUAGCCCAUUUUGCAAAGGAAGAGAUUGAGGUUUAAGUUCUUAAAUUACUCACCCCAAGACCUGCAGUUAGCAUGUGGGAGAGCCAGACCCCGGAAAAUGACCCCUACAUCUAUUCCAAAACCCAAGCCCUUGGGCCUGCUUGUCCAAUCAUGAGCAGUGCUGGGAGUACAUUCAAAUUGUGUGGUUGACUGAGGGAAUGGGUUUCUUUGUCACAAGCUUGGCUAAAAGUGUUCCAUCCAUCGUCUUCUAACUUCUCUGAUAAUCACAAUGCAUUCCUUUCAUGCUGUUGUCUUCUGAGGCCCAGAGAUUUUUCUCCCCACCAAAUGUAUCUCUUUCCCAAGAAGCUCUUACCAAAUAAAGGACAUUUAGUUGUU